UAGAUAAAACUUCCUACGGUUUGUGGAUUGACAUCGGAAACUACACCUAUUUAUUGGGAAACAAACCGAUGACUUGGAUGUCCAGCUUUCGUCAGUGCUGCACCCUGGGGAUGGAGGCACUAAACUUGGACAAUGCUUCCGAGCAACUCGGCUUGACAAACCUGACUGUCGUCUACAAUAUUACCGACUGGAAGGGGAAUUUCAAUUACUGGACGUCCGGCACGUGCAAGGGGGCACCAGCAGGACAGUGGUCUUGGUGUGAGCCGACGGGACCGACAAUAUUCAGCCCCGGCGUCGCGUGGGAACCAGGCCAGCCCGACAACCGCGGAGGAAACGAGAGCUGUGCACACUUCCGCUUGGUUUUCAACUCCACAGGCGCGAUUUUGACUGAUAGAAACUGCAACAGCAAAUACAUUUUCGCU